CCCCGCGACCGGCACGGCGGGACGCUGCCUAGCGGGCGACGAAGCCAUUGCAGAGAAGGCGGUUCGCCCCCGGCGUGAAUCAUCUCCCUUCUACCGCGCCCUAAUUGCUUUCCGAGCCCUAUGAGUGCGCUUCGUCGUGGUUGUGGUUGUCGCCGGCGCCCGGCGGGGCCGGUUGUGGGAGGUUCGGCAGUGCGUGUUUUGGCCCGUGAUUGGCCUUCAGUUCGUAAGCGGAGUUGUGGUUCAGUUUGCCGUUCCUCCUGUUCUGCUCACGAUUGAUGCACGCAGAGUCUCCUUUCCACCGCCAGUCUCCACACCACAGCUGCUCUCUUGGAAUAGGGAGAGGUGCUCCAACUCCAGCUCUUGCAGACCGUUGCCGCUGCCGCCUAGAUCCCUCCUGAGCGGUGGCCCUCGACCCGGCCGUCUGGUUCGCCGUGUGGGCGCACAACCACCAACAACGCUGGCGGCUGCUCCGGAUCUGGGGGGCACUGCUUUGCCUCGGCCUCCCCCGCCUCCACCGAUGGCGCCGCUGGUAAGCGCUGCUGGCCGGCCGGCGUUCCCACUCCUCAACUAUCCCUCGACCUCACCCGUGGAGGCCUGAGGCUGCCUCAGCUCCUACCGCCCCCUGGUGACUACGGUGAAGAUCAAGGCUAUGUCAAACCUGCACCAGCUUCAAUCCAAUUCAUGCCCACCGGAUCAUCCCUCUAAUUGCUCACUUCGGGUAAUCUAUUCCUAAAGAGUAAUAAAGCGCCCUUUUUAGAAAAAAAAAUAUAUUCCUAAAGGAGUGCAAUGUAACCUCGGGUUGUCGAGCCUAUGUUAUUCAGUGAAAGAUGGGGCAAGUGUAUGUAUUGCUCCAUCAAUUGGAGGCAACGGUUAUAGAUAGAAAUAUUUCAAUUGAAGGCAACGGGUAUAGGAAUAAGUAUUUGAUCAGUACUACCAACAUAUGUUGGCUGUAAUUCUACCGGUGGGGACUGGAUUUUCUCGAGAAUAAUUUGAACUGGCUCUGUCGCCGUUAGAUGAUUUGGAAAUAGCGCUACUACAGGAUAGUGGCAGCGGAGGAAUCCUGCAGUUGGAGUGGAGCAGAGUUGCAUGGAUGGAGGGUGUCCUGAUGGCGGCGGCCUCAUGCGGUGCUCUGUGAGCGGCUAUUCCUCGGUGCCAUACUUCAACAGGCGGUCAUCGCCGUUUUGUCCAUGCAUUCUUCUUAGGUUUUACAUUGUAAUAUGCUAUUAUUUGGUUCAAUUAUUAAUUACGAAAACAAGUAUAUACUGUCUGCAAUUUGGAAUGUUUGUUCUUUACAUAAAGAACUUGGUGUAUAUUUUGGUUCUAGGUUCAACCACUCAACCCAUGUUCUGUUGUAGGUAAACACCUCAAAAUUAUUUUUGAUUGAUCAUUGAGGUAGAUUGUCCACUCAACCCUAGGAAAACCCAGAGUAUACUAUCUGCUGGUAUAUACCCAGAGUAUACUAUCCAGCCAACAAGUAUAACUGUCAAAUUGGAAUGGUUCUAGGUUCAACCACUCAACCCGUGUUUUGUUGUAGGAAUAGGCUGCUCUCGCCAAUGGCAGUCAUUCUGCAUUGUGCCACAUAAAACUGCUGGUGUUUUUUUUUUGUUUUUUCUGAGAUGAACUAUGAUCCGAGUAUACAUCAAUAUCAGAGAUCUAGAAAAAAAAAUGUUAGUCGUGAAUUUUUAACCUAUUUUUACUAUGGGCAUGGUUUCGCUACAUUAGAUUAUUUCCUUUUUGUACGUUCCAGACAUGCUACCAGAAGAUAUUCUCAUGAUCAUUUUAUGGUGAUCCUGUGCAUAUUAGCUUUCUGCUAUUUAAGUUUAAAAGGUUUCAGUAUUUAUUAUGGUAAUUGUGUCAUCUUGUGUUCUGAUUUUUCUUUUGAAAAUUCUUCGUCUCUAUGAUUUAGACAUGUAAGGGAGAUGCUGGUUGGCUAUAGUUUUGUCUUCUCAUUUGCUAGGUUCAUGAGAUUUGAGUUUGUUUUGUUCAUACCCACAAGUAUGCACAGCGAUAAGAAAGUAAAUCUAUUUGGGUAUCUGCAAUAUAAUGAUGACAGUAAAAUAUGGCGUAUCUACACCUUUUUUUUAAAUGGUUCAGCUUCAGAUAAGAGGUUUGCCCUCUAACUUAAGUUCAGCCCCUAUGAUUGAGUACACAUCAGAGUCCUUUUGGACCAGUAAAACCACAUUAUACAGUCACAGCUGACAGUAACACGAACCUUGACAAAGCUAUCACUACAUACAUGAUGAUACAGCUCAAAGUGCUGACCACUUUGUUUAGGAGACACAGUGCUUAUUUUCUAUCUAUGAUUUACCAACCUGAAGCCUUCUGUUGCACAACAAUGUUGUGUUUUCCUUUUGACAGAGUUGUGUUCCAUUUCUCUGGACUAUAGUAUAACCUGUUAUGUGUGUUCUGAAUCUUAGUCUGUUACUUUUGUACAGCACGAUGACCCCCAAAUGGCCUCCUCCCCUGGCAGAAGACCCGGCGGUACCAACUACCAUGGAUCGCUUCGCGGUGGUGGCGGGUGAUACAGGACCAAUGCACGCGUACGAGGUGGACCUGUAUCAUGAAUGUUGAGCGUGAGAUGGUAAAGAGGAUC